ACGGGUGAGUAAUAUAUCGGAACGUGCCCAGUCGUGGGGGAUAACUGCUCGAAAGAGCAGCUAAUACCGCAUACGACCUGAGGGUGAAAGCGGGGGAUCGCAAGACCUCGCGCGAUUGGAGCGGCCGAUAUCAGAUUAGGUAGUUGGUGGGGUAAAGGCCCACCAAGCCAACGAUCUGUAGCUGGUCUGAGAGGACGACCAGCCACACUGGGACUGAGACACGGCCCAGACUCCUACGGGAGGCAGCAGUGGGGAAUUUUGGACAAUGGGCGCAAGCCUGAUCCAGCCAUGCCGCGUGCGGGAAGAAGGCCUUCGGGUUGUAAACCGCUUUUGUCAGGGAAGAAACGGCUUUCUCUAAUACAGAGAGCUAAUGACGGUACCUGAAGAAUAAGCACCGGCUAACUACGUGCCAGCAGCCGCGGUAAUACGUAGGGUGCAAGCGUUAAUCGGAAUUACUGGGCGUAAAGCGUGCGCAGGCGGUUAUGCAAGACAGAGGUGAAAUCCCCGGGCUCGACCUGGGAAUUGCCUUUGUGACUGCAUAGCUAGAGUGCGGCAGAGGGGGAUGGAAUUCCGCGUGUAGCAGUGAAAUGCG
rnacentral:rRNA from 1 species